rnacentral:rRNA from 1 species
AGUUAUGGUUUCUUUGAUGGUACCUUGCUACUUGGAUACCCGUAGUAAUUCUAGAGCUAAUACAUGCAGGACUGCCCGACUUCGGAAGGGCUGUAUUUAUUAGAUAAGAAACCAUCUCGGGUCCGCCCGGUUGUGUGCUGAGUCAUAAUAACUGCUCGAAUCGCACGGCUCUACGCCGGCGAUGGUUCAUUCAAAUUUCUGCCCUAUCAGCUUUCGAUGGUAGGAUAGAGGCCUACCAUGGCGUUAACGGGUAACGGAGAAUUAGGGUUCGAUUCCGGAGAGGGAGCCUGAGAAAUGGCUACCACAUCCAAGGAAGGCAGCAGGCGCGUAAAUUGCCUGAAUCCUGACACAGGGAGGUAGUGACAAGAAAUAACAAUACAGGGCUACUUCUAGUCUUGUAAUUGGAAUGAGUACAACUUACAUCUCUUCACGAGGAUCAAU